UACGAAGGGGGCUAGCGUUGUUCGGAAUCACUGGGCGUAAAGCGCACGUAGGCGGAUUUUUAAGUCAGGGGUGAAAUCCCGAGGCUCAACCUCGGAACUGCCUUUGAUACUGGGGAUCUGGAGUCCGGGAGAGGUGAGCGGAACUGCGAGUGUAGAGGUGAAAUUCGUAGAUAUUCGCAAGAACACCAGUGGCGAAGGCGGCUACCUGGAUUGAUACUGACACUGAGGCGCGAGAGCGUGGGGAGCAAACAGG
rnacentral:rRNA from 1 species